rnacentral:rRNA from 1 species
UACGUAGGGCGCGAGCGUUAAUCGGAAUUACUGGGCGUAAAGCGUGCGCAGGCUGUUCGUUAAGUCAGAUGUGAAAGCCCCGGGCUCAACCUGGGAACUGCAUUUGAAACUGGCGGGCUUGAGUGUGGCAGAGGGGGGUGGAAUUCCGCGUGUAGCAGUGAAAUGCGUAGAGAUGCGGAGGAACACCGAUGGCGAAGGCAGCCCCCUGGGCCAACACUGACGCUCAGGCACGAAAGCGUGGGGAGCAAACAGG